GUGGGGAAUCUUAGACAAUGGGCGCAAGCCUGAUCUAGCCAUGCCGCGUGAGCGAUGAAGGCCUUAGGGUUGUAAAGCUCUUUCAGGGGGGAAGAUAAUGACGGUACCCCCAGAAGAAGCCCCGGCUAACUCCGUGCCAGCAGCCGCGGUAAUACGGAGGGGGCUAGCGUUGUUCGGAAUUACUGGGCGUAAAGCGCACGUAGGCGGACCAGAAAGUCAGGGGUGAAAUCCCGGGGCUCAACCCCGGAACUGCCUUUGAAACUCCUGGUCUUGAGGUCGAGAGAAGUGAGUAGAAUUCCGAGUGUAGAGGUGAAAUUCGUAGAUAUUCGGAGGAACACCAGUGGCGAAGGCGGCUCACUGGCUCGAUACUGACGCUGAGGUGCGAAAGCGUGGGGAGCAAACAGGAUUAGAAACCCGAGUAGUCC
rnacentral:rRNA from 1 species